rnacentral:rRNA from 1 species
AACUUUCAACAACGGAUCUCUUGGUUCUGGCAUCGAUGAAGAACGCAGCGAAAUGCGAUACGUAGUGUGAAUUGCAGAAUUUAGUGAAUCAUCGAAUCUUUGAACGCACAUUGCGCCCACCAGUAUUCUGGUGGGCAUGCCUGUUCGAGCGUCAU